rnacentral:rRNA from 1 species
GACGAACGCUGGCGGCGUGCCUAACACAUGCAAGUCGAACGAGGUCCAUCCUUCGGGAGAAGACCUAGUGGCGAACGGGCGAGUAACACGUGAGAAACCUGCCCCGAAGACCGGGAUAACCCUCCGAAAGGAGAGCUAAUACCGGAUGCCCCCACCGAGCCGCAUGGCUUGGUGAGGAAAUGGAUUCCGCUUCGGGAGGGUCUCGCGGCCUAUCAGCUAGUUGGUGGAGUAACGGCCCACCAAGGCAUCGACGGGUAGCUGGUCUGAGAGGACGAUCAGCCACACUGGGACUGAGACACGGCCCAGACUCCUACGGGAGGCAGCAGUGGGGAAUCUUGCGCAAUGGGCGAAAGCCUGACGCAGCAACGCCGCGUGGGGGAUGAAGGCUCUCGGGUUGUAAACCCCUUUCAGCAGGGACGAAUCAAGACGGUACCUGCAGAAGAAGCUCCGGCUAACUACGUGCCAGCCGCCGCAGUAACAC